GGGUCAGUAGGUUGGUCGUGCCACCGGUACGUACUGGUCUCACUGAUUCCUCCUACCUGAAGAACCGUAAUGCCAUUAAUUUGGUGUUGCGGGGAAACAGGACUGUUACUUUGAAAAAAUUAGAGUGUUUAAAGCAAGCUAACGCUUGAAUACAUUAGCAUGGAAUAGUGAAAUAGGACGAUCGAUCCUAUUUUGUUGGUUUCUAGGAUUGACGUA
rnacentral:rRNA from 1 species